UACGUAGGGUGCGAGCGUUGUCCGGAAUUAUUGGGCGUAAAGGGCUCGUAGGCGGUCUGUCACGUCGGGGGUGAAAACACGGGGCUUAACCCCGUGCCUGCUUCCGAUACGGGCAGACUAGAGGUAUGCAGGGGAGAACGGAAUUCCUGGUGUAGCGGUGAAAUGCGCAGAUAUCAGGAGGAACACCGGUGGCGAAGGCGGUUCUCUGGGCAUUACCUGACGCUGAGGAGCGAAAGUGUGGGGAGCGAACAGG
rnacentral:rRNA from 1 species